AGAGAAGGCGUGCUCACAAAUGGGCUAAUUGUUGGACACCUUGCUAGCUAGCACCUACAAAAACCACAGACAGAAGAGAAACACCGAAGGACCAGCGACUGACCUCAGUUCAGUUAACACGGAAAAGGUGUAACAUCCUAGCUCACCGUGGACCGUCAGCCCCUCCUGACGGGCUGCUGACGGCGCUGUCAGCCGGACUCUCGGCCACACUGGACGGCGGUGGAGGAAGGUGUACCAGCGUCUGGCUCAGAGGACGUUUAGUUGACUUCACUGUCAGUCAGCACCGGACCUGAGAGCGUCGGCGCGGACAACGCAGACGUUAACAUCACCCGUCUCGGCUUCCAUCCCAG